AGGACGAACGCUGGCGGCGUGCUUAACACAUGCAAGUCGAACGGAAAGGCCCUUCGGGGUACUCGAGUGGCGAACGGGUGAGUAACACGUGGGUGAUCUGCCCUGCACUUUGGGAUAAGCCUGGGAAACUGGGUCUAAUACCGAAUAGGACUACGCGAUGCAUGUCGUGUGGUGGAAAGCUUUUGCGGUGUGGGAUGGGCCCGCGGCCUAUCAGCUUGUUGGUGGGGUGAUGGCCUACCAAGGCGACGACGGGUAGCCGGCCUGAGAGGGUGUCCGGCCACACUGGGACUGAGAUACGGCCCAGACUCCUACGGGAGGCAGCAGUGGGGAAUAUUGCACAAUGGGCGCAAGCCUGAUGCAGCGACGCCGCGUGGGGGAUGACGGCCUUCGGGUUGUAACCCCUUCUAGCACAGACGAAGCGCAAGUGACGGUAUGUGCAGAAGAAGCACCGGCCAACUACGCGCCAGCAGCCGCGGU
rnacentral:rRNA from 1 species